GUUAUGGAAUAUGUAUUAAUGAUAUAUAUUGUGAUGAUAUUUUCUGCGUUGAAUAUUGGAAGGUAGAUAUGUUGGUAGAUAUUCUAAUUUUUUUACUCUGUUAUAUAUUUGUACUCUUUCAAAAUAUUUUGGUUGUAUAUUUUUUUAUUUUUGAUUCAAUAUGUUGUUAUCUUUGUAAAUAUUCGUUGAUGUGCAGAUUGACUUGAUGUACAUAAAUAUUUCUGAAUUAUUACUGAUAUUCGAAUAGCAAUGCAAAGUUUGAAAGAUCGAAAUAAAUCGGAUUUGAAAACGCCUAACGAUACUCAACUCCACUAGGGGCUAAAUUUGAAAGGUUGGAAAUUAAUAUUUUUGGAGGGUAAAAUGAUAUUAUAACUAAAAUAUUAAUUGUAGUUUAGGAAAUACUAUUGUUAGUGAAAUUUAUAAAUAUGACAAUUUUAAUAUUGUUGUUUGAAAAUUUGAGGAAUUUUUUAAAAUUACAAAAGAGUAGUGAAAAAUAAUUUUUGGUACACAAUUACGCAAAAAUUUAUAUAAUUUUAAUCCUCAUUAUCCUUCUUUAUCAAUCAUUAUCUUCUUAUCCCACCUACUCCAACCAAUCAUUAUCCUUCUUUAUCCUUCUUUAUCAAUCAUUAUCUUCUUAUCCCACCUACUCCAACCAAUCAUUAUCCUUCUUUAUCAAUCAUUAUCUUCUUAUCCCACCUACUCCAACCAAACACUAUUUUUCAUUAUUCUAGACUAACUCCAACCCCCAACCAAACACAAAAAAACUUUAACCCCACUUUAACCCUGAACUUAACCCUAUCCCUGGAAUAGCUACUUUUUCCUUAACCCCAAACCAAACAG
rnacentral:lncRNA from 1 species